GAUGAACGCUAGCGGCAGGCUUAACACAUGCAAGUCGAGGGGCAGCGCGAUGUAGCAAUACAUUGGCGGCGACCGGCGCACGGGUGCGUAACACGUAUGGAACUUACCCUUUACUGGGAGAUAGCCCGGAGAAAUCCGGAUUAAUAUCCCAUAAUAAACGAAGUGGCAUCACUUUGUUUUGAAAGCUCCGGCGGUAAAGGAUGGCCAUGCGCACGAUUAGCUAGUAGGUGAGGUAACGGCUCACCUAGGCUACGAUCGUUAGGGGGCCUGAGAGGGUUAUCCCCCACACUGGUACUGAGACAUGGUCCAGACUCCUACGGGAGGCAGCAGUGGGGAAUAUUGGACAAUGGGGGAAACCCUGAUCCAGCAACGCCGCGUGGAGGAUGAAGGUCUUCGGAUUGUAAACUCCUGUUAGGGGGGGCGAAGGGUCGCUGGUGAAUAUCCAGCGAACUUGACGGUACCCCCAGAGGAAGCCCCGGCUAACUCUGUGCCAGCAGCCGCGGUAAUGUACG
rnacentral:rRNA from 1 species